rnacentral:rRNA from 1 species
CCUACGGGAGGCAGCAGUGAGGAAUAUUGGUCAAUGGCCGAGAGUCUGAACCAGCCAAGUCGCGUGAGGGAAGACGGCCCUACGGGUUGUAAACCUCUUUUGUCGGGGAGCAAAGCGAGUCACGUGUGACUCAUUGAGAGUACCCUAAGAGCAAGCAUCGGCUAACUCCGUGCCAGCAGCCGCGGUAAUACGGGGGAUGCGAGCGUUAUCCGGAUUUAUUGGGGUUACAGGGUGCGCAGGCGGAGGUGCAAGUCAGCGGUCAAAUUGCGGGGCUCAACCCCGUACUGCCGUUGAAACUGCAGUCCUUGAGUGCGUGAGAAGAAGGAGGAAUGCGUGGUGGAGCGGUGAAAUGCAUAGAUAUCACGCAGAACUCCGAUGGCGAAGGCAGCAUACCGGCGCGCAACUGACGCUGAUGCACGAAAGCGUGGGUAUCGAACAGGAUUAGAUACCCCAGUAGUC